rnacentral:rRNA from 1 species
UACGUAGGGUGCGAGCGUUAAUCGGAAUUACUGGGCGUAAAGCGUGCGCAGGCGGUUCGUUGUGUCGGCGGUGAAAGCCCCGGGCUCAACCUGGGAAUGGCCGUUGAAACUGGCGAACUGGAGUGUGGCAGAGGGGGGUGGAAUUCCGGCGUGUAGCAGUGAAAUGCGUAGAGAUGCGGAGGAACACCGAUGGCGAAGGCAGCCCCCUGGGCUGACACUGACGCUCAGGCACGAAAGCGUGGGGGAGCAAACAGG